GAAACUGGUUGACUGAGAUGAUCCAUAGACUUAAACUCUUGGGAAGAAUUUAUUUGAGUUAGGAAGCUGCUCCAAUAAAAAUGUAACUGACUGUAACUUCUUCUUAGUUGUUCAGCAGAUCGUAGCCGGAAAAGUGCCCGUCCCCCUCUCGCUGUUCUUAAGCCUGUGGAUUCUCUGAGUGCCAAGGAAAGCGCAGCAGCAGCAGCAGCAGCAGCCUGUAAUGAGCUGAAUGGAAUUGAACGUUUGGCUGAGGAUGCAAUUGUGACAGGCUCCUACAAGAACAAGACCCUUUGUGCCAACCCAGAGGACAUGUGUGACUUUAACAGGGCUGCCCACCUGGCCUCAACACCCUUCCACGGGGUGGUGGCUCAGAGGGUCCCAGCUCCUGCUUUCUCUCAGAGUGAACUGAAGGAAGAAGAUAGUCCAGAAUCCAGGAGUGCACCUCUGGCUUAGGAGACACCAGUGUGUGCAGGAGUAUACAUGAAUCUUGGAAAGUGCAGAGAUGGAGCCCCUUGGAGAGUAGCAGUGUGUCGCUAGAGGACGUGGACCGAUUCAUACAAACAGGUCUCAGUGGUGUCAUAGAAAAAAAAGAGCUUUUAUUUUCCUGACUCCAGUAUUUAUAGAUUUUUUUGUCAAUGACCAGGGAGGUAUUGGGUAAUUGUUAUAAAUGAAAUGCAACCAAAUUUAUCAAUAAUAAUUUUAUUGAACAAUUUGUUAAUUUUAGUUAUGGAAACAACCACAUCACAGUUAAGGUUGAAGCGUCGAGCCUGGGAUCGGCACUGGGUGAACUCUGAAUCAAUCUCUAUUGCCCUGAUUCCUCCAAGUUCAGCCAGCGAACAACCACAGUCCAGAGAGGUCACGAGCUAGCUCAGGAGCUCUCCGAGAACUCUAGAAGACCAAAAGGACAUCUUCCAAACCGUGGCAAAAAUUUGCUCUUAAAAUCUGAGUGCACAAAGAACCCACGCAAGAAAAAGGCACCGUAAGUAUUGCCUGGUUGAGCAGGGCAAUUGAGCGUGAUUGAGACGUGAUUUUAUCAUGAAGUGAGUGUGGACACCAAGGCUGCAGCUCUGUCUUCCUGCGAGGAAAAUGGUCGGCCAUGCGGGAAGCGUGUGGAAAAUUCCCAAAAAAAUCCUGUCAAAAAACCCCGAAUGGAAAGUUGUCAGGAGGGGAGGGGGACUUUUUGAGAAAGAAGCACAGCUCACCUCGUAGUUCUAAAGGGAAAGUUCCAGUGGGGAACGCAUAAGAGUCAUUCCCAACUCCUGUUAACCCAAAAUUGGGUAAGAGUGGUUUUUGGGGGGAAAUCUUGGGAAAGGGUCUUGGUUCACCCAAAGGGAGAGGUUCCGGGAACGCGCAGACUACACAGUCUCACGGUAUGCCUUCAGUGUGGUACAUACUUUUGGGAAGAUUUGGGAAGAAAGAGGAUUGAUAAAUACUAAGGGAAAAGACCUAAUCCAUGGGGAAAUAAUCCGACAGAUUCUAGAGGCUGUCCGAGAGCCGGAAGAAAUAUCAGUUGUCCAUGUAAAAGGACACCAGACGGGGUUGCAGUUUCAAACCCGAGGUAACAACCUAGCCGAUAAAGAGGCAAAACGAGCAGCUCUGCUCACCGACCUGCGAAAACAAGGACUAAUUCCCCAAAGCGCCACUCUAGGAUUCGCUAUACACCAGAUACAGCCUGGGGAUAAAGUCCUCGUCAAAACUUAGAAGGAGCUUCCCCUCACCCCCCAUUGGGAAGGACCGUUCCUCGUUCUCCUGACCACAGACACAGCUGUCCGGACCGCAGAAAGGGGCUGGACACACUCAUCUCGAGUAAAAAAAGUACAGGAUUACGACGCCUCCGAGUGGAAAGUCACCACCCCUCCGGGAGAGCUGAAAAUUAAACCUCGGCGUCAUCACAAAUGACCAGUGAUAACCAGAUAAGUUGUAUCAACCCUGAAUGUGAUGGUUUUCUGUUUAUACAUUUUAAGUGCACUUAUUGUAAACAGAUUUGGGUAACCCACUGUUGGGGAGGGUACAAGCCUAAGGGAUUGUGUACCAAGUGUCUAGAAAAAGAACAGGAGGAGACUAGCCGUCUCUUAAUACUUGCCACCCGGGCGGGGUUUUUAAAACUUGACUCUCCUAAGUGGUAUCUGCUUUUUCAAAAAGGGAUAAGAGAUAAACUAGACUCCAAGACAGAAGCUUUGAAAAUCGAGUGCCGAAAGACAGUUAAGGUACCGUGCAGGACAGACACAAUCAAGUCGUCUCGGUGGGCUACUUUCAAGAGAAGGUACGCCAUAAGGACUACAAGGGCCCCUGAAGAAUAUCCUUGCUGCCAAGAAGAUGGUAAUCCCCGCCGUAUAUUUUUAUACGGGCGAAGGGUAAGGCAGAGGGAUACAACAGUGGGGAAUCCUGAUUGUCCCGAGUCUAGCCAUGUGCUUGGCCGAGGGAAUGAGCCCCGAGGUACCUCUGGGGGAGCGUCUCCUGGGGAUGUGUGAGCAGUGUCAGACUGCCACAGAUACCGGACGAAUAAUUGACUGUCCUCCAGAACGACAAAAGGGGUUUUGUUUGUCUAACGGCACUCAGUAUAAUCUCUGUGAACUAAAGGGGGGAGGUCUGGUGUUACCACUCAGGGGCAGGUUUUAAGGACGGGCAGUCUAAGACUCCUAUGAGAAGAAAAACCAAAGCUACCCACUUCAGGUAUAAGAGAGAAGUGGGAAUGCUUCCUCCAAUUCCAAUCUGUAGCCAAUGCUACAAAACUGUCUAGAUAGGAGGAAAAAGACAAUCCACCUUUUUAGCAUAUUAUAAAGUCAACCCUUUGUGUUACAAUAAAGCAAACUUAAAAAUGUGUACCAUAGGAGGAAAAUUGUAUUGGGAAGGUAAAAAUUUAAAACAUGAAGAAAAAGCCUCCUUUAGUAAUGAACCGAUAAUUCUUGAUUUGUUAAAAAGUGAUGAUGACCGAGUAUGUUUACAAUUUGAUCAAGUGUUCUGCUUCUCCAGAGAUAUGAGGAAGGGAUAGACCCUGAAAGCAAAAUAAAGCAACUAACCCUAGAAUUAAAGAGGUGAGAAGUAGAAAUUCGGAAAAAGAGACUAGAAAAAGAGAGACUUAACUCUCUUAGUGAGCACUAUGAGCAAUUAGAAAGACAAUACAGCAACUGGGGAUUACCAGCUCCCAACCAGAAUCUUUUCACAGACCUAAUGCAAGAAAUAGCCACAGAAUUAGGUCUAUCUAACUGUUGGAUCUGUGGCAGUUUAAAGUCGGCUGAAAGGUGGCCUUGGAAGGGAGAGGGACUCACCCCAGAGCAACUCCUAAAAUGGGAGGGCUCAAAAAUGUCAAAAACAACACAAAGACCCGAGGGAUGGGUGAUAGACCAAAGAAUAAUUGGUACCGUCUUCAUUAGCAGAGAGGGAAAAGAAUUCACAGAAGUAGUAGGUUAUACUCCGUGUAUAAACACACUCACAGUGAAUUCUGACAUUAAAUCAAAAACUUGGCAACCUGAACCACCCACGGGCUAUUGGAGUCGCACCCAGGGUAAUCACUGUGAAUGGGUUGAAAUAGUUGAACUAUGUUGUUACAAAAACUCUGGGGCCAAUCCCUUCCAUGCACUAGAAGGCCUAAAAGAAUAUUGGGAUGAUCCGGCAAGAACAAACAAAGGCUGGGAAGCUCCUGACGGUAUUUACUGGAUAUGUGGCAAGAAAGCAUAUAGUGAGCUACCUGAGAAAUGGAAGGGCUCCUGCACACUCGGAAUAAUUAGGCCCUUUUUCUUUACUCUACCCAGAACAGAAAGUAAAUUGCUGGGAGCUCCCCUCUU